CUUGAAACCUAAAGGACUUGACGGUGCCCCAAACCCACCUAGAGGAGCCUGUUCUAUAACCGACACCACCCGAUAAACCUCACCACCACUAGCCAUACCCAGCCCGUAUACCUCCGUCGUCAGCUUAUCACUCAAGUGAAUUUUAAUAAGCCAAAUGGUCCCCACCAAUACGUCAGGUCAAGGUGCAGCAUAUGUCGUGGGCAGAAAUGGGCUACACUCCCUCACAACCAGGAAAAACAAAAGACCUAGAGAAACCAAAGUCAAAAGGCGGAUUUAGUAGUAAAAAGAAAACAGAGUGUUCUUUUUAACUCGGCCCUGGGACACGU
rnacentral:rRNA from 1 species